GGGGUGGAGGGAACCGCGGCCCCCUGCCCGGGAGCAGCACCCGGGGGACGACACAAGCACGCAAACGGGGCGUGGGCGAGGGGACGCACCUAACGCGGGGCCACCCGGAGAGAGACCUUCUCCACUCAAUCUUGAGACCCUAAAACCUGCAGAGGGCGCAGGCUGUGCCCAGCGCCUGGGGGGCAGGGAGCGGGUCUGGUGGAGGGACUGGCGGUUGGGGUUGCAAAGGCCCUGGGGCCAGGUCAGCUGGCGAUGGGAGGCGGGACGCCAGGGCGGCCCGGGCACCUGUAAUCCUGCUGGAAGGAACCUGCGUGGGAAUCCCCUGAGUUGCCCUGCAACCAGUGAGUCAUCCUUUUCCAGCCCGCCAGGACGGAGGUGUCACCCUGCUGAGCUGGCGGCCGGGUGGCCACUCUUCAGUCAGCAGCCCUUCCUUGCCAAGCUCCCUGUCCCCAGCGCUCCGCCCCCAAAAUGUGUGCAUGACAAUCCUCUGAAAGCGGCAGUCCCUAACGCGAGAGCGUUUUCAUGCUGGGAGAUCGGCAGGUACUUCCAGGCUGGAUCAGCCCCAGCAGUGCCAAGGGCUGUAGGCAGCCGCCUUCCUGGGAAGCAAGACUUUGUCCGGGAAACCUCCUCUGGACGCAGGGUGGGGCCCCGAGCCCAGGGCUUCUGCG
rnacentral:lncRNA from 1 species